UACGUAGGGUGCGAGCGUUGUCCGGAAUUAUUGGGCGUAAAGGGCUCGUAGGCGGUUUGUCGCGUCGGGAGUGAAAACACCGGGCUUAACUCGGUGCUUGCUUUCGAUACGGGCAGACUAGAGGCAUGCAGGGGAGAACGGAAUUCCUGGUGUAGCGGUGAAAUGCGCAGAUAUCAGGAGGAACACCGGUGGCGAAGGCGGUUCUCUGGGCCUGUACUGACGCUGAGGAGCGAAAGCGUGGGGAGCGAACAGG
rnacentral:rRNA from 1 species